rnacentral:rRNA from 1 species
AACGAACGCUGGCGGCGUGCCUAAUACAUGCAAGUAGAACGCUGAAGGAGGAGCUUGCUCUUCUGGAUGAGUUGCGAACGGGUGAGUAACGCGUAGGUAACCUGCCUGGUAGCGGGGGGUAACUAUUGGAAACGAUAGCUAAUACCGCAUAAUAGUAGAUGUUGCAUGACAUUUGCUUGAAAGGUGCAAUUGCAUCACUACCAGAUGGACCUGCGUUGUAUUAGCUAGUUGGUGGGGUAACGGCUCACCAAGGCGACGAUACAUAGCCGACCUGAGAGGGUGAUCGGCCACACUGGGACUGAGACACGGCCCAGACUCCUACGGGAGGCAGCAGUAGGGAAUCUUCGGCAAUGGACGGAAGUCUGACCGAGCAACGCCGCGUGAGUGAAGAAGGUUUUCGGAUCGUAAAGCUCUGUUGUAAGAGAAGAACGAGUGUGAGAGUGGAAAGUUCACACUGUGACGGUAUCUUACCAGAAAGGGACGGCUAACUACGUGC